CUAAGGGAACUGAUUUUGGCAGAUUGAGCCCAAAUUUGAUCGCUGGCACACUUCUUGUGUUCCUCAAGAUCCUUCUCAAAGUUCGCCUUCCUCCAGCUAUACUCCAUGAUCCCCUUCACGUGGAGAUUCUGAAAGUAGGUGGCCUCUGCGGUGGCUUCGGAAUGACUCUCCCUCAACCUGCAAAGCUCGCCUUCCAUCUUCUUCGACCUUUUUGUUAAAUGGAGGACUUCCUUCUUCAGCCGCUAGAUUAUAGACUUCAGCAGAAUCUCCUGAGGCAAGAGAAGUGCUUUGGCGGGGC
rnacentral:lncRNA from 1 species